rnacentral:rRNA from 1 species
UACGGGGGGAGCAAGCGUUGUUCGGAUUUACUGGGCGUAAAGGGCGCGUAGGCGGCGUAACAAGUCACUUGUGAAAUCUCCGGGCUUAACCCGGAGCGGCCAAGUGAUACUGUUGUGCUAGAGUGCGGAAGGGGCUACUGGAAUUCUCGGUGUAGCGGUGAAAUGCGUAGAUAUCGGGAAGAACAUCGGUGGCGAAAGCGCUCUACUGGACCACAACUGACACUCAGGGACGAAAGCUAGGGGAGCGAAUGGG